rnacentral:rRNA from 1 species
UGGGGAAUAUUGCACAAUGGGCGCAAGCCUGAUGCAGCCAUGCCGCGUGUAUGAAGAAGGCCUUCGGGUUGUAAAGUACUUUCAGCGGGGAUGAAGGUGUUGUGGUUAAUAACCACAGCAAUUGACGUUACCCGCAGAAGAAGCACCGGCUAACUCCGUGCCAGCAGCCGCGGUAAUACGGAGGGUGCAAGCGUUAAUCGGAAUUACUGGGCGUAAAGCGCACGCAGGCGGUCUGUCAAGUCGGAUGUGAAAUCCCCGGGCUCAACCUGGGAACUGCAUCCGAAACUGGCAGGCUUGAGUCUUGUAGAGGGGGGUAGAAUUCCAGGUGUAGCGGUGAAAUGCGUAGAGAUCUGGAGGAAUACCGGUGGCGAAGGCGGCCCCCUGGACAAAGACUGACGCUCAGGUGCGAAAGCGUGGGGAGCAAACA